rnacentral:lncRNA from 1 species
UACAGGCAGAAUGUCCGUUGGCAGCACAGAGCUGAGGAAGUGUUGGGCAGAGCCUUUCAAUGGAAGGUGCAACAGAAGCCUGAGCUCUCUCCCUUCCGAUGGCUGACCGGGAAGUCAGGGUCAUAAGAUUCUCACAGCUGCGGCGACCCUGAGGAAAGACUGGAGCAGCGUUUUGUUACUAUCUCAUGUGUUUUGUCAUGUAUCACAUGUAUGCAUGUCCACACAGAGGUCAGAAGAAGGUAUCAGAUCCCCUGGAGUUAAGAGUUACACAUGGUUGUGAGUGCCCUCUGGGUGCUGGGAAUCAAAUCCAGGUCCUCUAUAAGAGCGACAUGUACUCUUAACCACUAAGCCAACUCUUUUUGUU